CCGGCAAACCGGGGCUAAUACCGGAUGGUUGUUUGAACCGCAUGGUUCAAACAUAAAAGGUGGCUUCGGCUACCACUUACAGAUGGACCCGCGGCGCAUUAGCUAGUUGGUGAGGUAACGGCUCACCAAGGCAACGAUGCGUAGCCGACCUGAGAGGGUGAUCGGCCACACUGGGACUGAGACACGGCCCAGACUCCUACGGGAGGCAGCAGUAGGGAAUCUUCCGCAAUGGACGAAAGUCUGACGGAGCAACGCCGCGUGAGUGAUGAAGGUUUUCGGAUCGUAAAGCUCUGUUGUUAGGGAAGAACAAGUACCGUUCGAAUAGGGCGGUGCCUUGACGGUACCUAACCAGAAAGCCACGGCUAACUACGUGCCAGCAGCCGCGGUAAUACGUAGGUGGCAAGCGUUGUCCGGAAUUAUUGGGCGUAAAGGGCUCGCAGGCGGUUUCUUAAGUCUGAUGUGAAAGCCCCCGGCUCAACCGGGGAGGGUCAUUGGAAACUGGGGAACUUGAGUGCAGAAGAGGAGAGUG
rnacentral:rRNA from 1 species